rnacentral:rRNA from 1 species
UACGUAGGGUGCGAGCGUUGUCCGGAAUUAUUGGGCGUAAAGAGCUCGUAGGCGGUGUGUCACGUCGGCCGUGAAAACCUGCAGCUUAACUGUGGGCGUGCGGUCGAUACGGGCAUCACUGGAGUUCGGCAGGGGAGACUGGAAUUCCUGGUGUAGCGGUGAAAUGCGCAGAUAUCUGGAGGAACACCGGUGGCGAAGGCGGCAUCCUGGACCAAUUCUGACGCUGAGGAGCGAAAGCCAGGGGAGCAAACGGG